UACGUAGGGUGCAAGCGUUGUCCGGAUUUAUUGGGCGUAAAGAGCUCGUAGGCGGUUUGUCGCGUCGGGAGUGAAAACCUCGGGCUUAACUCGGGGCUUGCUUUCGAUACGGGCAGACUGGAGGUAUGCAGGGGAGAACGGAAUUCCUGGUGUAGCGGUGAAAUGCGCAGAUAUCAGGAGGAACACCGGUGGCGAAGGCGGUUCUCUGGGCAUGACCUGACGCUGAGGAGCGAAAGUGUGGGGAGCGAACAGG
rnacentral:rRNA from 1 species